UACGUAGGCAGCGAGCGUUGUUCGGAGUUACUGGGCGUAAAGAGUGUGUAGGCGGUGCUCUAAGUUCGGUGUGAAAUCUCCUGGCUUAACUGGGAGGGUGCGCCGGAAACUGGAGUGCUCGAGCGUGGGAGAGGAAAGCGGAAUUCCUGGUGUAGCGGUGAAAUGCGUAGAUAUCAGGAGGAACACCUGCGGUGUAGACGGCUUUCUGGACCAUUGCUGACGCUGAGACACGAAAGCGUGGGUAGCAAACAGG
rnacentral:rRNA from 1 species